CACUGCCGAGAAAAGCCUCUAGAUAGAAAAUAGGUGCCCGUACCGCAAACCGACACAGGUAGUCAAGAUGAGAAUUCUAAGGUGAGCGAGCGAACUCUCGUUAAGGAACUCGGCAAAAUGACCCCGUAACUUCGGGAGAAGGGGUGCUCUUUAGGGUUAACGCCCAGAAGAGCCGCAGUGAAUAGGCCCAAGCGACUGUUUAUCAAAAACACAGGUCUCUGCUAAACCGUAAGGUGAUGUAUAGGGGCUGACGCCUGCCCGGUGCUGGAAGGUUAAGAGGAGUGGUUAGCUUCUG
rnacentral:rRNA from 1 species